UUCAAAAGAAAGUAUCAGAAAAAACAGAAGGUGAUAUCUGGAACCCAGACAAGACCUCCGUCUGAAUAAUCCUUUCUCUUGACGAAUCCUCAAGAUCUGCAGUUCCCCGCCUCUCAAAUCUCAACCUCUCUACUCAGAGAUCCAUUAUGGAUUUUAUGAAGGUCUUUGAUCAGACGGUCCGCGAAAUAAAGAGGGAGGUGAAUCUGAAGGUUUUGAAGGUUCCCGAGAUCGAGCAGAAGGUA